rnacentral:ncRNA from 2 species
GAAAUCUGAUCGGGAGAACCGGCUAUGCCGGUGCCGAAGGAGCAACCGCCCCGGAAACUCUCAGGCAAAAGGGACCGAUUGGAUUGA